UUUUAAAUAGCUUAAUUAGAGUGUAGUAUUGAAGAUACUAAGGUAAUCGUAGAUUUUUAAAAA
rnacentral:tRNA from 1 species